rnacentral:rRNA from 1 species
AACGAACGCUGGCGGCAGGCCUAACACAUGCAAGUCGAGCGCCCCGCAAGGGGAGCGGCGGACGGGUGAGUAACGCGUGGGAACGUGCCCUUUGCUACGGAAUAGCCCCGGGAAACUGGGAGUAAUACCGUAUAAGCCCUACGGGGGAAAGAUUUAUCGGCAAAGGAUCGGCCCGCGUUGGAUUAGGUAGUUGGUGGGGUAAUGGCCUACCAAGCCGACGAUCCAUAGCUGGUUUGAGAGGAUGAUCAGCCACACUGGGACUGAGACACGGCCCAGACUCCUACGGGAGGCAGCAGUGGGGAAUCUUAGACAAUGGGCGCAAGCCUGAUCUAGCCAUGCCGCGUGAGCGAUGAAGGCCUUAGGGUUGUAAAGCUCUUUCGUGGGGGAAGAUAAUGACUGUACCCCAAGAAGAAGCCCCGGCUAACUCCGUGCCAGCCGCCGCCGUAACAC